UGGAGAUGAUCCACUUUGAUUCUGGCACCUUCUUCAAAGACAUGAUCCACGCCCAAUUUGCAGCCGGGCUCUGCGGAUGCUGAGGCAGCUCUGGGCUUUGCCAGGGCUUUGCUGGGCUCAGCCCUGGGCACAGCUGGGCCUGCUCUGCCCUCACAUGGCUCUGACAGCUUUGCAUCAGACGAGCCCGUUCUGAGCACACUGCCUGAGCUUUCUGCUUUUGCAGAAGUGCCACGAGUGGGCAAAACCUGGCGAGUGGGCCGUGUUGCUAAGGCAGUGCAGUCUGGAGCUGAUGGAUGGAGAAUUGCCCUUCUGCCCUUCCAAAGGAGAGAAAAAAGCUGUAAGUGGGACUUUCCAUCUUGAGAAAUCACUGACAAUUUCAAAGGAAAUGUGCACCUCAUUUGAAGGGUGAGAAGGAAGGGCAUCUUCUAAAGGAUUUGGGAUUUGACAGAGUUUAGAUUCCCAGUCCUGCUUGGAGCUGGCAGGGCCCAAAGCAAUUUCCUCUUGCUUCGAACCACAAUUUAAAAGAACAAUAUUGGAAAUAAACCCCAAAAUUGUUUUUAAAAGGCUGCUUUG